rnacentral:lncRNA from 1 species
AGGUCGUGAAGAUUAAUUUUGAUGCAGCAUACGACGAAAAGUUUAAUCUAGCGGCUGUGGGGAUUGUGUCCAGAGAGAGUGAGGGAAAGGUUCUUUUAUCAUGCUCGGAGAUAUAUCAACGGGUUGCAUCAGCCUUUGCAGCUGAGGCACUUGCGUGCCGGAGAGCGACCCAAAUCGGCAUAGACAUGCAUUGGAAAAAAGUCAUUAUUGAAGUAGACUCUUUAUCAAUAAUAAAAAAGUGUAAGACAAGUAUCCCAGAUAAAUCAAAGGUAUGUGCCUACAUUCAUGAUAUUCAUAAGCUACUAUUAAAAUAUAAGGAGUGCAGAUUUGAAUAUAUCCCAAGAGCAGGAAACAGUCUUGCGCAUACUUUAGCAAAAGAAACGAUGAAUAAUAAAAUAGUAGUUUACCUGGUUGGAGGCGUCCCUGAAUAUGCAGAAGAACAAGAGGAAAGGGAUAGAGUGAGAGAGCCAGAUUGAACAGGAAAGGGAGAAGAUGAAAUGGAGGGAGUCUGAAUGAGGGCUAGUAAUGGAAUGGAUGAAAUUAAAGUCCCCUCGGGAGUGUGAAUGCAUCUUGAUGAAGAAAUGGCAGAUGAAGUGACAAGACGGUGAAGAGUCAUCUUGCUGAUUGGGCAAAAAUUACAGCAACGUUAAUGGGAUUCCAGAGACUUCUGACUCUAUUUUUGUUCUGUUG